AAUGAACGCUGGCGGCAGGCCUAACACAUGCAAGUCGAACGGAUCCUUCGGGAUGAGUGGCGGACGGGUGAGUAACGCGUGGGAACAUACCCUUUGGUACGGAAUAGCCUCGGGGAACUGGGAGUAAUACCGUAUGUGGUCGAGAGACGAAAGAUUUAUCGCCAAAGGAUUGGCCCGCGUUGGAUUAGGUAGUUGGUUGGGUAAUGGCCUACCAAGCCGACGAUCCAUAGCUGGUUUGAGAGGAUGAUCAGCCACACUGGGACUGAGACACGGCCCAGACUCCUACGGGAGGCAGCAGUGGGGAAUCUUAGACAAUGGGGGAAACCCUGAUCUAGCCAUGCCGCGUGAUCGAUGAAGGCCUUAGGGUUGUAAAGAUCUUUCAGGUGGGAAGAUAAUGACUGUACCACCAGAAGAAGCCCCGGCUAACUCCGUGCCAGCCGCCGCCGUAA
rnacentral:rRNA from 1 species